UAUUUCGGGUAAUCGCUAUAGCGAUAUAGAGGAAAGUCCAUGCUCACACAAUCUGAGAUUGAUUGUAGUGUUCGUGCUUGAUGAAACAAUAAGUCAAGGCAAUAUGACGGCAGUGAAAUAACCUAAGUUCUUUGAAUAUGGUUAGAAUAGCUUGAAAGUGCCACAGUGACGUAGCUUUUAUAGAAAUAUAAAAGGUGGAACGCGGUAAACCCCUCGAGUGAGCAAUCCAAAUUUGGUAGGAGCACUUGUUUAGCGGAAUUCAACGUAUAAACGAGGAAAUCACCGUACAUAAUCGGUAUUUCAGACAGAUGGUUACCACCGGCGUACCAGUGCAUACUAGUGCACGUGAAGAGUACUAAGGUACAGAACAUGGCUUACAGAG
rnacentral:RNase_P_RNA from 3 species